rnacentral:rRNA from 1 species
UACAGAGGGGGCAAGCGUUGUUCGGAAUUACUGGGCGUAAAGCGCGCGUAGGCGGCUCGGAAAGUCGGGCGUGAAAUGCCGGGGCUCAACCCCGGGACUGCGUCCGAUACUUCCGAGCUGGAGGUAGGUAGGGGAGAUCGGAAUUCCUGGUGUAGCGGUGAAAUGCGGCAGAGUAAUCAGGAGGAACACCGGUGGCGAAGGCGGAUCUCUGGGCUUUACCUGACGCCUGAGGCGCGAAAGCUAGGGGAGCGAACAGGA